UGGGAAUUUUGGACAUGGCGAAGCUGAUCCAGCAAUGCCGCGUGUGUGAAGAAGGCCUUCGGUUGUAAAGCACUUUUGUCCGGAAAGAAAUCCUUGGCUCUAAUACAGUCGGGGGAUGACGGUACCGGAAGAAUAAGCACCGGCUAACUACGUGCCAGCAGCCGCGGUAAUACGUAGGGUGCAAGCGUUAAUCGGAAUUACUGGGCGUAAAGCGUGCGCAGGCGGUUUGCUAAGACCGAUGUGAAAUCCCCGGGCUCAACCUGGGAACUGCAUUGGUGACUGGCAGGCUAGAGUAUGGCAGAGGGGGGUAGAAUUCCACGUGUAGCAGUGAAAUGCGUAGAGAUGUGGAGGAAUACCGAUGGCGAAGGCAGCCCCCUGGG
rnacentral:rRNA from 1 species